GUUGUAGCUUAGUGGUAGAGCACUUGCCUAGGAUGUGUGAGGCCCUGGGUUCCAUUCUCAGCACUACA
rnacentral:tRNA from 1 species